rnacentral:rRNA from 1 species
GAUGAACGCUGGCGGCGUGCCUAAUACAUGCAAGUCGAGCGAACAGACGAGGAGCUUGCUCCUCUGUCGUUAGCGGCGGACGGGUGAGUCACAUGUGGAUAACCUACUUCUAAGACUGGGAUAACUUCGGGACACCGGCGCUAAUACCGGAUAAUCUCUUGAACGGCAUGGUUCAAUAGUGAAAGACGGUUUUGCUGUCACUUAUAGACGGUCCGGCGCCGCAUUAGCUAGUUGGUAAGGUAACGGCUUACCAAGGCGACGAUGCGUAGCCGACCUGAGAGGGUGAGCGGCCACACUGGAGCUGAGACACGGUCCAGACUCCUACGGGAGGCAGCAGUAGGGAAUCUGCCGGAAUGGGCGAAUGCCUGACGGAGCGACGCCGCGUGAGGGAGGAAGGUCGUCGGAGCGUAAAACUCUGUUAGUAUGGAAGAACAAAUGUGUAAGUAACUAUGCACGUCGUGACGGUACCUGGUCAGAAAGCCACGGCUAACUACGUG